GCCCAGCUUGAGGAGGCCGUGUACUUGGACGCUCGGUUCUGCUAAAACCCUAAACCCUCGUGCCGUGAGCAGCCAAUCCUGAACCUCCUCCGGAUCCAUUUCAGAUCUUCUUCUUCAAUGGCUUCAGCCUGCAACAGAAUCUUCAGCAGAGCAUCCGUAUCGUCCAUCAAAUCCGCCAUCAAAUCCAAAAUCCCUACAUCUCCCCUCGCCAGAUCCGCCACUCCCACCUCUCCACGCUUCCCUCUCCCCUCCACGUCCACUUCCCCUCCUCGUCGCCGAUUUUCACUCUCCAGGUCUCCAGCGGAACUGGGAAGCGUUCAGUCAAUCUUUCCUCUGCACAGCGCGGUGGCGGCGGCUCGAAUGACAUCGUGCCUCAGCACAACUUCGAGGAAUUGCCGAGCGCUCUCGCAGGGUACACUCUGCUGCACCUCUCCAGACCUCUAAUAUCAUGCACAUAAUAUGAGUGUCGUUGAAAGAAAUAAAAUGGGAAUUUGCGGGGCCUGCCAAUUAUCAAUGUAAGGAUACCGAAUGCAAGAGUUACCAUGAUAAUUACCAAAAGUAUUGGAAAUCUUAACAAGGGGAAGGAUUUCAAAGGUGACAUUGCAAGAUCUCUGAAAAUAGGAUGGAAUUGAUGGUACGUGAGACAUAUGUGCUGUAUUUGGAGGUGCGCCCUGCAUCUUUGCUCCAAUUUAUUCAAAUUAAAACAAGAGCUUGGUCUGUCGGUUCCAAGGUGACAAUAUAGCAGUCCACCAUGACAAGAGGUUAUCUUCACAAGAAUGGAAAAUCUUGCACCAAGAUCUUGUGGCUUUUGUUUUUGAAGUUCAGUCAUUUUAGAAGAUACAGCUUGACCCUUGAAAGCAAGAAAAUUGAUUUUGAUAUUUCCCACCACGGAGAUAUUUGUUCACUAACUAUUUAUAUAUGUUUAAUUGCCAAGGCAGAUUCCAAUAAGAAAAUACCACAUAUUUUCGCAAUUUCAGUGGGACAAGAUGAUUAAGAAAAAAAAAAAAACAGAUGCCCACUGUGGAUCAUUCCUUUGUGAAAUUGUUUAUUAUACCCAGAUGGAAAUUGAUUUAGAUUCUUCCAAUCACACGGAUAUUUAUUAGUAUUCAUAGAUGUUCAAUUGUC